rnacentral:pre_miRNA from 1 species
AUUUUACUCCCUCCGUCCGAAAAUACUUGUCAUUGAAAUGGAUGUAUCUAGAUGUAUUUUAGUUCUAGACACAUCCAUUUUGAUGACAAGUAAUUCCGGACGGAGGGAGUACUUG